rnacentral:rRNA from 1 species
GACGAACGCUGGCGGCGUGCUUAACACAUGCCAGUCGAACGGAAAGGCCCUGCUUUUGUGGGGUGCUCGAGUGGCGAACGGGUGAGUAACACGUGAGUAACCUGCCCUUGACUUUGGGAUAACUUCAGGAAACUGGGGCUAAUACCGGAUAGGAGCUCCUGCUGCAUGGUGAGGGUUGGAAAGUUUCGGCGGUUGGGGAUGGACUCGCGGCUUAUCAGCUUGUUGGUGGGGUAGUGGCUUACCAAGGCUUUGACGGGUAGCCGGCCUGAGAGGGUGACCGGCCACAUUGGGACUGAGAUACGGCCCAGACUCCUACGGGAGGCAGCAGUGGGGAAUAUUGCACAAUGGGCGGAAGCCUGAUGCAGCAACGCCGCGUGCGGGAUGACGGCCUUCGGGUUGUAAACCGCUUUCGCCUGUGACGAAGCGUGAGUGACGGUAAUGGGUAAAGAAGCACCGGCUAACUACGUG